rnacentral:lncRNA from 1 species
CUAUUACUACCAGAUGCUGAAGGACUACCUCUUUUUUUAUUUUCCCUACCAGUAACUCUUUUACACACUCUUUUAGCAGCACUAAACAUAUUAUAAAAAUUGAAGUAUGAGCUAAAAUUAAAUAUGCAAUUAACAUAGUAAAUAAGAGAAAGAGUUGGAGGGAGUGCACCGAAUUCGACAAUGAAUUGAGCACUUGAUUAUGCAAUUCCGAUGUUACCACGAACAAACGUCAAGUCGUUAUGCAAGAAUUUCAAAUUUGAACUUCAAUUGAUCAAUGUUGAAACUUCAAACUUCAAAUUCCUAAUGACAAAGACACAAUAAAUUAAAUUCAAGAAAAGUGAGCCAAAAUGCCAAAUAAAAUUAGAAGAUGUAAUGAUAAAUUGAAGUAUUGCAAUUUGCAAAUUGGAGAAUGAGAGAGAUUGAGAUAUGAGAUUUGAGUGAAGAAAUGAAGAAGAGGGGGGUAUUUAUAGUUUUAAAAAAGGUUAAUUUUGUAAAUUCAAAAAGGGUUAAAAUUAAAAAAAAUGGCUAUUUCAUCAAUAGAUCCGUUGGCUAACGGAUCAAUUCCAAAAACUGGCAUUUCCAAUGGAUAGUGGGCCCCACGGAAAUUUAAAAAAAAAUUUAACCGUUAAACCGGGCUGGUUUAACCGGUUAGGCAUGAACAGUGCUUACCGGUUUAGCCGGUUCCGGUUAAUCGGUAAUUUUUUUUAACCCGGCCAACCCCCUCCCACCUCCGGUAGCGGGUCAAAACGGCCCGUUUGACAGGUAUAGAAUAAAGGCUUAUUCUGCUUUCCUUUUAUACCGACUGACGGACUUUCUUUCACGCGCUCUAGUUAAUGUAUGUGGAAACAUGCUAAUCCUGGAUCAAUGCAUUUCCUGGCAUGUUUACAGCAGAAAUUGGGAGUGUACAAUCUCUGUGGGUGCUCCCUAUAUUUGACUUAACUAUGCAAAAUAAAAAAAUUGAAGAAGGUUAUUCCGGUUGAAGAGAUCAGAUAGUGAAGGUUGGCGUUGGUAUCAAGUGUGAAUUCCUCUAAGAUUGACGGGGUGAACAUAGCGGUUUAAUAUGUCUCGUCUUGAUCAGUUGCCUCUUUGCGCUCUUUUUCUGCAUUUGGCACUCUAAAUGGGAUGGCGUUCCCAGGAGAUACUAUAAGAUUGAAUGGAUGUUGUGAUUUCUUAAGUUAAAUGAUGUUUUUACCUCAACUAAUAUGUCUAUUGGGAUAUAGAAUGAUUCCUUGAAGUUGAUUAUUUAUGUGUGUCGCUGUACUUUUUGCAAUUUUGAAUCUAGAUAUCUAUAGGUCCUGCACUAUUUUGUCCUUGAGUUUGUCAUUAACUCUAAGAUGCAAAGAAGUGUUGAGAUAAGUUCUACUAGUUGCUAACUUGCUACCAACACGCCUUCACCAGCCCCAAAAUUAACUUCCUAUUUUCUUUUGUUUCCCUUCCAUUUUCAUGCACUCUAACUAGUCAGUUCCAUCUUGUCCCAAAUUCUUUCAUGAUGCUUCAGUCACUUAACUCUUGAUUAUUGAGUCCCAAAAUUUGCAUCUAGCUUCAUGGUUUGUUAAGCGUUUUUUGAGGAAGAUUCCACUGUGGUUCUACAGUAUGGUGGCUGGAGGAUACACUUCACUUUUAAUGUUGGACAUAGAGUUGGUUGCAUGAUACAAUAUAACAUAGUGCAACAGUUCUCUAUUAAUGAAUUGAAUAAUCAAAAUUUAGAGGGUAGCCUGUUGAUGCUUCUCUUGAAACUAUGCCUUGUGUUUAUUCUGUUGAAUUGGUGAUUGUUUUUCUGACAGAAGAAAAAAGUAAGAAGCAGGCAAAAGAAGUUGAAGGCUUAUGAUCUUUCUGAACUUACAGAGUUUCUCCCGGAGUUAAAAGCCUCUCAGCAACAAAAACCUGCAGAGUUCAAGUUGAAAAGUAAAAAUAGGAAAAAUUUAGUGUGAGUACUAAAAACCUUGUUUAUCCUUCAAAAGCCCAUGUCCUUCGUAUGAUAGAGCAAUUUGUUCCUAAGAGUGUAUACUUCCAACAGGUUGAAGGAAGGCAAUCAGUUUCAAGCAGUUAUUAAUCAUCCUGCUUUCCAGGCAGAUCCACUAGGUGCCAUUCAUCAACAUCUUCAAAGCACGCAGCCGACCCUGGAUGAUAAGCCCAAAAAAUGGGAAAAGAAAAAUGGAAAUAGAAAAGGAAAAAAGAAAUCUACAGCCUCAGCUGCGCCACAGUCAAUGGAGAUAUAAUAUACACUUAACUUCACUUUUUUUCUGCUUCUUCUAGUAAAGAUCCCCAUUUGCCAAAUUUUGACGUGUUGGUCUGUGUUUAUAGUAGUUCAUAGUUCUACUAAACUAGC